GGCAUUAACGUUGAUCUAAACGUUUAGGAACCUAUUCUAAACGUGUUCUGAAUAUUUAAUUUGCGUUGAAAAGCUAAAUCAAACGAUUUCCGUACGGAAUAAAUUAGUUUCGCACAAAAUGUGUCGGACAUUUUGAAUCUUUCAUUAUGAUAAAAAAUUAGAAUUUCUUAUGAAUCUUAAAUUAUGUAAUAAAUGGUUUAGAAAAGAUAAAAGAAAUUUGUUUCUAGUAUUAUACUGUGGCUAAUGAGGCAGCUAAAAAGUCCUUCCAGUCAGUUGCAACAACAAUUAAAGCAGCAGGAAACAACCAAGUACACAUGCAAGUGACAAUGAGGAUUGCAAAAGUUUUAAAUAUCAGAAACUGAAGAAGGAAUUGAUAAUUAGCAGAACAAAAAAGCGCAAAAGUACUGAUUAUACAACUCUUUUAAAGUUGAGGAAGAAUUUUAUGUGGAAUGUUAAUGCAAAAGGUACAAAUAUUGACAGUUAAACCAUCACCACCUCCACAGCCACCUUAUCUCAAGCAUUCAAUUGCAUUCUAAGUUAUCUUUAUUCAAAUCAAGUGUGACUACUAUACCAAAAGACUGUAGAAUGGACCAAUCAACUAACCCAUCAGUACUUGCAAAGUCUUUUUUUCUGUAAGCCCGAAAUUUGAGUUCUAAAAUACCAUUAUCCACAUAACUACUAUAUCAAAGCACUAACUAAUGGAUUGAUCAAGUAUCUCCACAACUUUUCAAUUAAAUAGAAAGUUUCAAUCAAACAGGAUACUGAGUGUGCCUACUGCUCCUCAAGACAAUGAAUAAUGGGAGUUAUCAAACUUUAUAUAUAU
rnacentral:lncRNA from 1 species